rnacentral:rRNA from 1 species
GACGAACGCUGGCGGCGUGCUUAACACAUGCAAGUCGAACGGAAGGGCCCCUUUGGGGCUUCUCGAGUGGCGGACGGGGGAGUAACACGUGAGUAACCUGCCCUUACCUUCGGGAUAACUUCAGGAAAGUGGGGCUAAUACCGGAUAGGAAUCCUUGCUUCAUGGUGGGGGUUGGAAAGCUUCGGCGGUUUUGGAUGGACUCGCGGCGUAUCAGCUUGUUGGUGGGGUAGUGGCUUACCAAGACGUUGACGGGUAGCAGGCCUGCGAGGGCGACCGGCCACACUGAGACCUAGAGACGGCCCAGACACCGACUGGAGGCAGCAGUGGGGAAUAUUGAACGAGGGGCGGAAGCCUGAUGCAGAAACGCCGCGUGCGGGAUGACGGUCUUCGGGUUGUAAACCGCAUUCAGAAGGGGCGAAGCUUGUGGUGACGGUACCUGCAGAAGAAGCACCGGCUAACUACGUG